GGGAUUACCUCAGUAACGGCGAGUGAAGCGGUAACAGCUCAAAUUUGAAAGCUAGCUCUUCUAGGGUUCGCAUUGUAAUUUGUAGAAGAUGCUUCGGGUGUGGCCCCGGUCUAAGUUCCUUGGAACAGGACGUCAUAGAGGGUGAGAAUCCCGUAUGUGACUGGGUGCUUUCGCUCAUGUGAAGCUCUUUCGACGAGUCGAGUUGUUUGGGAAUGCAGCUCAAAAUGGGUGGUAAAUUUCAUCUAAAGCUAAAUAUUGGCCAGAGACCGAUAGCGCACAAGUAGAGUGAUCGAAAGAUGAAAAGCACUUUGGAAAGAGAGUUAAACAGUACGUGAAAUUGUUGAAAGGGAAGCGCUUGCAACCAGACUUGCGCGCUGAUGAUCAUCCGGGCUUCUGCCCGGUGCACUCGUCUGCGCUCAGGCCAGCAUCGGUUUCGGUGGUGGGAUAAAGGCCUUGGGAAUGUAGCUUCUUUCGGGGAGUGUUAUAGCCCUCGGUGCAAUGCCGCCUACCGGGACCGAGGACCGCGCUUCGGCUAGGAUGCUGGCGUAAUGGUUGUAAGCGACCCGUCUUGAAACACGGACCAAGGAGUCUAACAUCUAUGCGAGUGUUUGGGUGUCAAACCCAUACGCGUAAUGAAAGUGAACGGAGGUGAGAACCCUUAAGGGUGCAUCAUCGACCGAUCCUGAUGUCUUCGGAUGGAUUUGAGUAAGAGCAUAGCUGUUGGGACCCGAAAGAUGGUGAACUAUGCGUGAAUAGGGUGAAGCCAGAGGAAACUCUGGUGGAGGCUCGCAGCGGUUCUGACGUGCAAAUCGAUCGUCAAAUUUGCGUAUAGGGCGAAAGACUAAUGGCCUUGGGAAUGUAGCUUCUUUCGGGGAGUGUUAUAGCCCUCGGUGCAAUGCCGCUACCGGGACCGAGGACCGCGCUUCGGCUAGGAUGCUGGCGUAAUGGUUGUAAGCGACCCGUCUUGAAACACGGACCAAGGAGUCUAACAUCUAUGCGAGUGUUUGGGUGUCAAACCCAUACGCGUAAUGAAAGUGAACGGAGGUGAGAACCUUAAGGGUGCAUCAUCGACCGAUCCUGAUGUCUUCGGAUGGAUUUGAGUAAGAGCAUAGCUGUUGGGACCCGAAAGAUGGUGAACUAUGCGUGAAUAGGGUGAAGCCAGAGGAAACUCUGGUGGAGGCUCGCAGCGGUUCUGACGUGCAAAUCGAUCGUCAAAUUUGCGUAUAGGGGCGAAAGACUAAUC
rnacentral:rRNA from 1 species